rnacentral:misc_RNA from 1 species
GAAAUGCGAUACGUAAUGUGAAUUGCAGAAUUCCGUGAAUCAUCGAAUCUUUGAACGCAACUUGCACUCUUUUUCGGAAGAGUAUGCCUGUUUGAGAAUCUUUAGUAUUUCUUGACCUUUUGUGUUUCACAUGCAAAAGCUCAGAUGUGAGACUUCCCCUCGCUAGCGAGGGGUGUCUUGAAAGAAAUAGCCGGCCAAAGCGGUGACAACAGUGUUUGAAUAGAACCUAGUUCUUGCUGCACCAAGUCUAGCGGCGGACGGUCCACUACAAAGACGCAAGUCUGAACCUUGGUCUCAAAUCAGGUAGGAGGACCCGCUGAACUUAA